GAUGAACGCUAGCGACAGGCUUAACACAUGCAAGUCGAGGGGCAGCAUAGAAGUAGCAAUACUUUGGUGGCGACCGGCGCACGGGUGAGUAACGCGUAUGCAACCUACCUAUCAGAGGGGAAUAACCCGGCGAAAGUCGGACUAAUACCGCAUAAAACAGGGGCACCGCAUGGUGAUAUUUGUUAAAGAAAUUCGCUGAUAGAUGGGCAUGCGUUCCAUUAGGUAGUUGGUGAGGUAACGGCUCACCAAGCCGACGAUGGAUAGGGGAACUGAGAGGUUGGUCCCCCACACUGGUACUGAGACACGGACCAGACUCCUACGGGAGGCAGCAGUGAGGAAUAUUGGUCAAUGGGCGGGAGCCUGAACCAGCCAAGUCGCGUGAAGGAAGAAGGAUCUAUGGUUCGUAAACUUCUUUUGCAGGGGAAUAAAGUGCAGGACGUGUCCUGUUUUGUAUGUACCCUGAGAAUAAGGAUCGGCUAACUCCGUGCCAGCAGCCGCGGU
rnacentral:rRNA from 1 species